UUGAACGCUGGCGGCAGGCCUAACACAUGCAAGUCGAGCGGUUGAGAGUAGCUUGCUACUUGAUGCAGCGGCGGACGGGUGAGUAACGCGUGGGAAUCUGCCCAGUAGUGGGGGACAACAGCCGGAAACGGCUGCUAAUACCGCAUACGCCCUACGGGGGAAAGGGGGGGAUCUUCGGACCUCUCGCUAUUGGAUGAGCCCGCGUCGGAUUAGCUAGGUGGUAGGGUAAAGGCCUACCAAGGCUACGAUCCGUAGCUGGUCUGAGAGGAUGAUUAGUCACACUGCAACAGAGACACGGUCCGGAGUCCUACGGGGGGCAGCAGUGGGGAAUAUUGGACAAUGGGGGAAACCCUGAUCCAGCCAUGCCGAGUGUGUGAAGAAGGCCUUAAGGUUGUAAAGCACUUUCAGUGGGGAGAAAGGUUUGUCACCUAAUACGUGAUGAAAUUGAUGUUACCCACAGAAGAAGCACCGGCUAACUCCGUGCCAGCCGCCGCCGUAAAAC
rnacentral:rRNA from 1 species